UACGGAGGAUCCAAGCGUUGUCCGGAUUUACUGGGUUUAAAGGGUGCGUAGGUGGCCUUUUAAGUCAGGGGUGAAAGCCUGUAGCUUAACUAUAGAAUUGCCAUUGAAACUGAAAGUCUUGAGUACAGUUGAGGUGAGCGGAAUGUAUCAUGUAGCGGUGAGAUGCUUAGAUAUGAUACAGAACACCGAUUGCGAAGGCAGCUCACUAAACUGCAACUGACACUGAGGCACGAAAGCGUGGGGACCAAACAGG
rnacentral:rRNA from 1 species